GGGGAUUUAGCUCAGUGGUAGAGCGCUUGCCUAGGAAGCACAAGGCCUAGUUCAAUUCUCAGCACCCCCA
rnacentral:tRNA from 1 species